rnacentral:rRNA from 1 species
GAGUUUGAUCAUGGUUCAGGAUUAACGCUGGCGGCGUGCCUGACACAUGCAAGUCGAACGAGGCCGCAAGGCCUAGUGGCGGACGGGAGAGUAACACGUGACCAACCAACCUCGAAGUUGGGAAUAGCUCUGCGAAAGCAGGGGUAAUACCGAAUGUGGCCCGGAGCGGACAUCCGCACCGGUCCAAAGAUUUAUCGCUUCGAGACGGGGUCGCGGCCUAUUAGCUUGUUGGUGGGGUAACGGCCUACCAAGGCGAUGAUGGGUAGCUGGUCUGAGAGGACGACCAGCCACACUGGGACUGAGACACGGCCCAGACUCCUACGGGAGGCAGCAGUGAGGAAUCUUCCGCAAUGGGCGAAAGCCUGACGGAGCAACGCCGCGUGUGGGAUGAGGACUUUAGGGUCGUAAACCACUGUCGGAGGGGACGAUCGUGACGGUACCCUCCAAGAAAGCCCCGGCUAACUACGUGCCAGCAGCCGCGGUAAUACGUAGGGGCGAGCGUUAUCCGGAUUUACUGGGCGUAAAGCGCGUUAAGGCGGAUGGCCAAGUUGGCGGUGAAAUUUCGGGGCUCGACCCCCGAAACUG